CAAGAAAUAUAAACUCCGCCAAAAAAUCUUCAACGAGUCCCUGAAAAAUCCCGACAUACAAAUUCGGGUGUUUCAGGGAAUCGUUACAGAAAUGGCGAGAACUUUCAUCUGCAAGGAC
rnacentral:precursor_RNA from 10 species